GUCCCUGUAAUGCAAUGCAUAACAUAUUGGAAUUCUAAUCCAAAGGUUGUGGGUUUGAAUCCCACCUGGGAUU